AGUGAACGCUGGCGGUAGGCCUAACACAUGCAAGUCGAACGGCAGCACAGUAAGAGCUUGCUCUUACGGGUGGCGAGUGGCGGACGGGUGAGGAAUACAUCGGAAUCUACUUUUUCGUGGGGGAUAACGUAGGGAAACGUACGCUAAUACCGCAUACGACCUACGGGUGAAAGCAGGGGAUCUUCGGACCUUGCGCGAUUGAAUGAGCCGAUGUCGGAUUAGCUAGUUGGCGGGGGAAAGGCCCACCAAGGCGACGAUCCGUAGCUGGUCUGAGAGGAUGAUCAGCCACACUGGAACUGGAACACGGUCCAGACUCCUACGGGAGGCAGCAGUGGGGAAUAUUGGACAAAGGGCGCAAGCCUGAUCCAGCCAUACCGCGUGGGUGAAGAAGGCCUUCGGGUUGUAAAGCACUUUUGUUGGGAAAGAAAAGCAGCAGGUUAAUACCCCGCUGUUCUGACGGUACCCAAAGAAUAAGCACCGGCUAACUUCGUG
rnacentral:rRNA from 1 species